UAUUUCGCCCUUGCGCAACUUCGAAAACCGUUUUCAGAAACGAGUAUGCUUUAUCCAUAUAAUUAUGAAACAAAUAAAGGCCUCAACCUCCAAUAGAGAUCAACAAGCAAAUGUUUAUCCAAUCGAUAUGUCUAAAGUGUCACUCCAUAAAAGUAACCAACAAACAGUUCUUUACUACAAAGAACUAUGUAGCCUUGUUUUCU
rnacentral:lncRNA from 1 species